CAAAAAAGAAACACCUCGCAGUUUCACGCGACGCUCUUGCCUGAUCCUCUUCUCAUCUCCUUCUAUCCCCGACCUCUGUACAAAUUUCGUAACACCCGAGCGCUGCAGAUUCCCAACGCCAUCUCAGUUUCCCCUCUUGAUUCCUUGUCGUGACCUUGCUCGUAAACACCUGCUCGCACGGGGUGGCCAUCUCGUGCGCCUAAUUUGGCUCCCUGUACGCCUCCUCGAUCUGCCACGCCGAACGGCGAUGGAGGGUUAGUAGGGCUCGAUGAGAAGCUGCGCAAUGGAGAAGGCGAGCUUCUCGAUCUUGACAGCACAGCUGUCGUCGGCGUCCUUGGAGGCAACGUGGGCGUGGAUCUCAUCUCCCACAUCCAGUUUGAAUCCACCUCGAUUGUGAGGAUGCUGGCGGCGUUAUCUUCGAUCGCAUCGUGGCCGUCCCUGAGCGAGGCGCCCCGGCAGGGUCAUAGGUGCAUAACUGCGCUAUGCAUGGUUCGUCUUUACCUUCAGAAAUGAAGGAGACCUAGUGGGUAUUAAGUUCCAGUCUUCAGGUGAAAACACACAUACUAUGGUACUUACUGGAGGCUCGCUCGAUGGGCCGAUGGAGCAAUUGAGGAUAUUGGGGCACUUGCUUGUGAGAGUUCUUUUUUUUUCUUUGAGGGAAAGCCAUCAUUGUGGUGUAUGUUAAUUUGGAGUAAUACUGUAAUAGCUACAUCAUUAUGGUAUAUGUCUAACCUAUCAUGAGUUUUGUUUAUGCGAUCAUGAGAUUGAUUGUGAGAUUGGUGCAAAGAAUAUGUGAUGUACUGUAAGAUUGAUC